UGUAAGCGUAUAUAAGUGUGUAGACUUGCGGAAAUAAAGAGAGAGAAGAGAGAGAAGAUGCGUCCGAACCAGGGCAUCUUGUCGUCCUUGUGGGACGAGGGCGAUAAAUGGCGCCGGCACCCGGGAACUACAUAAAGGAAUCUUGCAAAGACAAAGAAGU